CCCUUAGAUGUUCUGGGCUGCACGCGCGCUACACUGAAGCUAUCAACACGUUUUCCCUCCCUGAGAAGGGCGGGUAACCUUUUGAAUCAGCUUCGUGGUAGGGAUCGGGGCUUGCAAUUGUUCCCCGUGAACCAGGAAUUCCUAGUAGACGCGAGUCAUAAGCUCGCAUCGAUUAAGUUCCUGCCCUUUGUACACACCGCCCGUCGCUACUACCGAUUGAACGUUUUAGUGAGGCAUUUGGACCGACGCACCUCAGUUUAACCGCUGGUUUGUGUUGGAAAGACUUCCAAACUUGAGCGUUUAGAGGAAGUAAAAGUCGUAACA
rnacentral:rRNA from 1 species